UUUUCUGUGACAAAAUACCCGACAAGAAG
rnacentral:piRNA from 1 species